rnacentral:lncRNA from 1 species
CAGGGACCUUGGGAGAGCUAAAGGGGUGUUGGAAGCCCACACAUAAAGGGUACUCCAGAUGACAUGGGAGCAAGCUUGGAAGCAAGCAUUGAAGUGACAGCCGGGCUGCCCUCAAUGGAGUGCAGCACUUCUGCAAUCAACAAAACUCAGACACACAACAUAAAAUUCCCAUGUCCUAGGUCCAGUCAAAAUGAGUAGAAAAGCCAGUAGGCGAGAAAAGUGUAACUUGUCAUGGGAGGGUGACAGUUCAUAGUAACAGACCCAGGUCUGAUGGGAUGACCAACAAGUACAUUAAAAUAAUUUUAACAGCACUCUGUGUGCUCAAGGAAUCAAAGCAAAAACAUGAAGGCUGAGAAGUGGAAGAUAGAAAAAAAGAAGCAAGUUGAGCAAAAUAUCAUUUCCCCUAGGCAGGAGAAUUUUAAAUUACUUAUAUAAAUCCUCACCUCUCAGAG